rnacentral:rRNA from 1 species
UACGUAGGGGGCAAGCGUUGUCCGGAAUCAUUGGGCGUAAAGCGCGUGUAGGCGGCCCGGUAAGUCCGCUGUGAAAGUCGGGGGCUCAACCCUCGAAUGCCGGUGGAUACUGUCGGGCUAGAGUGCGGGAGAGGCGAGUGGAAUUCCUGGUGUAGCGGUGAAAUGCGCAGAUAUCAGGAGGAACACCAGUGGCGAAGGCGGCUCACUGGCCCGAUACUGACGCUGAGGCACGAAAGCGUGGGGAGCAAACAGG